UCUCCCAGGCUAUACGGCCUUCAAAGGUUGGCUCAUGAUAAACUCACCCCAUUUUUGAUUUAUAGAUUGGUUAUGGGUUAUUUGCAUCGACAUUUCUUGGCGUAGUUGUGGCAGGAUUUCAGAGAAAUCCACCAGAGACCACCUGGAAUCUACACUGAACUGACACUUGGUACCACAGGGGCACUUUGAGCCCCACCCGGAUCACUGCAUUCUUCAGGUGACCCUGGCUGGGAUUUGACUGCUGCAGUCAUCCUGUGACCCCCCAGCUCGCGACAACAGACCUGACACCAGCCACACCCAUCGAGACAUCUGACCUGCUCCCUGCUGUGUCCAUCAAUAGCUAUUCUGGCAGGGCAACCUGGCAUGGCAAUUUUGUGGCUAUUGUAAAGGAAGAGAGCAAAUAUCUCCAAACUACGAUGAGAAGAAGACAACAUCAGUUGUAGACAGCUGUCCCAAGACUCCGGACCAGGCCUGUAUUCCCAACCUUAAAUCCACUUAUUUAAACCUUUG